rnacentral:rRNA from 1 species
AUAUUGCACAAUGGGGGAAACCCUCAUGCAGCGACGCCGCGUGAGUGAAGAAGUAUUUCGGUAUGUAAAGCCCUAUCAGCAGGGAAGCAAAUGACGGUACCUGAUUAAGAAGCCACGGCUAACUACGUGCCAGCAGCCGCGGUAAUACGAAGGGGGCAAGCGUUAUCCGGAUUUACUGGGUGUAAAGGGAGCGUAGACGGCUGCACAAGUCUGGAGUGAAAUGCCGGGGCUUAACCCCGGAACUGCUUUGGAAACUGUGCAGCUAGAGUGCAGGAGAGGUAAGUGGAAUUCCUAGUGUAGCGGUGAAAUGCGUAGAUAUUAGGAGGAACACCAGUGGCGAAGGCGGCUUACUGGACUGUAACUGACGUUGAGGCUCGAAAGCGUGGGGAGCAAACAGG